rnacentral:rRNA from 1 species
ACUCCUACGGGAGGCAGCAGUGGGGAACAUUGGACAAUGGGGGAAACCCUGAUCCAGCCAUGCCGCGUGUGUGAAGAAGGCCUCGGUUGUAAGCACUUCAGUGGGAGGAAGGUUGAUGGUUAAUACCUAUCAGCUGUGACGUUACCCACAGAAGAAGCACCGGCUAACUCCGUGCCAGCAGCCGCGGUAAUACGGAGGGGUGCAAGCGUUAAUCGGAAUUACUGGGCGUAAAGCGUGCGCAGGCGGUCUGUUAAGCGAGAUGUGAAAGCCCCGGGGCUCAACCUGGGAACUGCAUUUCGAACUGGCAGACUAGAGUCUUGUAGAGGGGGGUAGAAUUCCAGGUGUAGCGGUGAAAUGCGUAGAGAUCUGGAGGAAUACCGGUGGCGAAGGCGGCCCCCUGGACAAAGACUGACGCUCAGGCACGAAAGCGUGGGGAGCAAACAGGAUUAGAUA